rnacentral:rRNA from 1 species
AUUGAACGCUGGCGGCAUGCCUUACACAUGCAAGUCGAACGGUAACGGGCCUUCGGGUGCCGACGAGUGGCGAACGGGUGAGUAAAGUAUCGGAACGUACCUUUCAGUGGGGGAUAACGUAGCGAAAGUUACGCUAAUACCGCAUAUUCUGUGAGCAGGAAAGCAGGGGAUCGCAAGACCUUGCGCUGAUUGAGCGGCCGAUAUCAGAUUAGCUAGUUGGUGAGGUAAAGGCUCACCAAGGCGACGAUCUGUAGCGGGUCUGAGAGGAUGAUCCGCCACACUGGAACUGAGACACGGUCCAGACUCCUACGGGAGGCAGCAGUGGGGAAUUUUGGACAAUGGGGGCAACCCUGAUCCAGCCAUGCCGCGUGAGUGAAGAAGGCCUUCGGGUUGUAAAGCUCUUUCGGCCGGGAAGAAAUCGUAUGGGUUAAUACCCUGUGCGGAUGACGGUACCGGCAUAAGAAGCACCGGCUAACUACGUGCCAGCCGCCGCAGUAAAAC